GAUGAACGCUGGCGGCAUGCUUAACACAUGCCAGUCGGACGGGCAGUGGUGUUUCCAGUGCCGGACGGGUUAGUAACGCGCAAGAACCUGCCCUUGGGAGGGGAACAACAUCUGGAUACGGCAACUACUACCCCGUAGGCUGAGUAGCAAAAGGAGGACUCCGCCCGAGGGGGGGCUCGCGUCUGAUUAUCUAGUUGUUACGGGUAUAGCUGACCAAGGCGAUGAUCAGUAGCUGGUACGAGAGGAUGAUCGGCCACACUGGGACGGAGACCCGCACCAGGCAAUCACGCGAGACAGGAGUGGGGAAGUCGGAGCAAUGGGGGAUGGGCUGAGGGAGCAAUGCGGUGUGGAGGUAGUAGGCCUAGGGGUCGUGAACUGCUUAUGUCGGUGAAGACGCAAUGACGGUAUCUGGGGAAUAAGCAACGGCUAACUAUGUG
rnacentral:rRNA from 1 species